GACGAACGCUGGCGGCGCGCUUAACACAUGCAAGUCGAACGGAAAGGCCUGCUUUCCCUUGUGGAUUGCGGGUACUCGAGUGGCGAACGGGUGAGUAACACGUGAGUGAUCUGCCCCCAACUUGGGUAUAAGCCUGGGAAACUGGGUCUAAUUCCCGAUAGGACUGCAGGGUGGUGCCUGUGGUGGAAAACGAUUUUCUAGUGGUUGGGGAUGAGCUCGCGGCCUAUCAGCUUGUUGGUGGGGUAAUGGCCUACCAAGGCGGCGACGGGUAGCCGGCCUGGGAGGGGGGACGGCGACAUUGGGACUGAGAUACGGCCCAGACUCCUACGGGAGGCAGCAGUGGGGAAUAUUGCACAAUGGGCGGAAGCCUGAUGCAGCGACGCCGCGUGGGGGAUGACGGCCUUCGGGUUGUAAACUCCUUUCGACCGCGAGGAAGCCACCUGGUUGGAAGGGUGGUGACGGUAGUGGUAGAAGAAGCACCGGCUAACUACGUG
rnacentral:rRNA from 1 species